GAGGCAUACGACUUCUACAAUUUGUAUUCAUGGGAAAAGGGGUUUGGCAUCCGCUAUGGCAAGAGCCGGCUAAAUGUCGAGAGGACGAAGUGCAUGCAAGAGAUAGUUUGUGGGUGCUCGGGUAAGGCUGGGGUUGAGAACACAAGGUCUUGUCGUGGCCCAUAAUGUUAUAUUCUGUCUGGGCUGCGGGGAUAGGAACUUCACUUUUCAGUUGGACAGGAGGUUGCAAUUAUCCAGUUCUUCCGGGCAGAAGAGAAGCUGGGAUGGCGGCAUGCUUGCGUAGGAGGGCGACACCAUUGAAGACAUGGAGUUCUUGCUGCAGCCGGUUAAGAGGGCCAGGAUUGGAUCAGCGGCUCCAAGUAGGAGUCCAUGUCGGUCGAGUCGAGGGCUACUGCUUUGGAUACUACUAUAAGGAGCUUCGCCGACAAGCGUGGAGAUUAGGUGAUAAGGCAAAAACUGGGUGCUAGCUUUGAUACGUUCUGAGAGGCUUAUGAUUUUAUAAUCUUUACUCUUGGGAAAAUGGCUUUGGUAUAACAUAUGGGCAGAACAGAUUAAAUGUCGAGAGGACGAAAUGCAUGUAGGAAAUUAUUUGAGGUUGCGUGGGGAAGCAGGGUUAGAGAAUACACAAUCAUGCCAUUGUGAAUGCCCUGCAUUGAUCCGAUUGCUUAGGUUAGAGGACAAUGGUUUGUAAAUAGCUAAGCACAGGGAGAAACACAAUCAUUCACUGUCUCCAAAUUGUUGGGUAACAGUUCACUGGCCGUCCCACAAACACAAAGAUGUUGACAACAUAAUUAGGAGAUUUUUUGGUUAAAUGGAAAAAGUCCCCUUUAUUAAGCGAUCAUUGAGAGCAUUCUGCGGGAAUUUGGGUUGUGAACAAGCGGAUGAUGAUGUGAGGAAACCGAUGGAAUUAUCUAACGAGUUGGGUGCCAGCAAUCCGCAGUUCGCAUAUCGAGUCCAAGCUGAUGGGGAAGACCGAAUAAAAUGUCUGAUGUGGAUGAAUGGUAGCAGCCAUUUGCGACAUGCAUCUGAGCUGUUUACAGGCGAGAUGAACCCUAGAGCUCUUGGCUGGACACAACGGUAUGCGCAUUCAGUGCUACAAAUUCAGGAAAAAGGUAAUGAUUGGUGUGGCCGCGUCAAGGAGGACACCUUGUCCUAAUCGCCCAAGUGCAUAGGAGAAGGCAAUUCACGGGUUCGAUAAGAAUCCAGGGGAGAAUCUGAUUGUACUGAAACUGGGGAUAAGCUUUGAUCUUUAGGUGAAGCAUACGACUUCUACGACUUGUAUUCCUGGGAGAAGGGGUUUGGUAUUACAUAUUGGAAAAGUAGACUAAAUGUUUAGAGGACAAAAUGCAGGCAGGAAAUCAUUUGCAGCUGUGCGGGAAAGGCUGGUGUUGAGAACAGUCGGUCAUGCCAUUGUGAGUGUCCGGCUCUUAUACGACUGUUGCGAUCGGAAGGCAAUGGUUGGUGCAUAUCAAAGCAUCGGGAGGAACACAACCAAUCUUUGUCUCUUAAUUGCGGAGAGACAACACACUGCCUUCACACAAAGACAUCGACGUUUACAACCGAGACUUGGUGAAGCAGCUACAGCAAAAAAAUGUCAAUCUAGCCAAGGUAAUACAACAUCAUAAGGAGUUUUUUUGACCAACCGAGCUCUCCAUAAUCCAUAAUUUGUGUGGAAAAUAAGCCAUGAGCUGGCAUAGGAUGAUGUGAGCAAGACUAUGGAGGUUUUCACUAAACUGGGUGCAAAGGAUCCACAUUUCACUUAGCUUGUGCGUGCUGAUAAGGAAGGGCGAAUCAAAAAAAUGUGGGCGAA